UCCUCAGAUGUCAAGACUAUAUUCUGAA
rnacentral:piRNA from 1 species